rnacentral:rRNA from 1 species
GGUUAAGCGACUAAGCGUACACGGUGGAUGCCCUGGCAGUCAGAGGCGAUGAAGGACGUGCUAAUCUGCGAUAAGCGUCGGUAAGGUGAUAUGAACCGUUAUAACCGGCGAUUUCCGAAUGGGGAAACCCAGUGUGAUUCGUCACACUAUCAUUAACUGAAUCCAUAGGUUAAUGAGGCGAACCGGGGGAACUGAAACAUCUAAGUACCCUGAGGAAAAGAAAUCAACCGAGAUUCCCCCAGUAGCGGCGAGCGAACGGGGAGGAGCCCAGAGCCUGAAUCAGUGUGUGUGUUAGUGGAAGCGUCUGGAAAGGCGCGCGAUACAGGGUGACAGCCCCGUACACAAAAAUGCACAUAUUGUGAGCUCGAUGAGUAGGGCGGGACACGUGGUAUCCUGUCUGAAUAUGGGGGGACCAUCCUCCAAGGCUAAAUACUCCUGACUGACCGAUAGUGAACCAGUACCGUGAGGGAAAGGCGAAAAGAACCCCGGCGAGGGGAGUGAAAAAGAACCUGAAACCGUGUACGUACAAGCAGUGGGAGCACGCUUAGGCGUGUGACUGCGUACCUUUUGUAUAAUGGGUCAGCGACUUAUAUUCUGUAGCAAGGUUAACCGAAUAGGGGAGCCGAAGGGAAACCGAGUCUUAACUGGGCGUUAAGUUGCAGGGUAUAGACCCGAAACCCGGUGAUCUAGCCAUGGGCAGGUUGAAGGUUGGGUAACACUAACUGGAGGACCGAACCGACUAAUGUUGAAAAAUUAGCGGAUGACUUGUGGCUGGGGGUGAAAGGCCAAUCAAACCGGGAGAUAGCUGGUUCUCCCCGAAAGCUAUUUAGGUAGCGCCUCGUGAAUUCAUCUCCGGGGGUAGAGCACUGUUUCGGCAAGGGGGUCAUCCCGACUUACCAACCCGAUGCAAACUGCGAAUACCGGAGAAUGUUAUCACGGGAGACACACGGCGGGUGCUAACGUCCGUCGUGAAGAGGGAAACAACCCAGACCGCCAGCUAAGGUCCCAAAGUCAUGGUUAAGUGGGAAACGAUGUGGGAAGGCCCAGACAGCCAGGAUGUUGGCUUAGAAGCAGCCAUCAUUUAAAGAAAGCGUAAUAGCUCACUGGUCGAGUCGGCCUGCGCGGAAGAUGUAACGGGGCUAAACCAUGCACCGAAGCUGCGGCAGCGACGCUGAUGCGUUGUUGGGUAGGGGAGCGUUCUGUAAGCCUGCGAAGGUGUGCUGUGAGGCAUGCUGGAGGUAUCAGAAGUGCGAAUGCUGACAUAAGUAACGAUAAAGCGGGUGAAAAGCCCGCUCGCCGGAAGACCAAGGGUUCCUGUCCAACGUUAAUCGGGGCAGGGUGAGUCGACCCCUAAGGCGAGGCCGAAAGGCGUAGUCGAUGGGAAACAGGUUAAUAUUCCUGUACUUGGUGUUACUGCGAAGGGGGGACGGAGAAGGCUAUGUUGGCCGGGCGACGGUUGUCCCGGUUUAAGCGUGUAGGCUGGUUUUCCAGGCAAAUCCGGAAAAUCAAGGCUGAGGCGUGAUGACGAGGCACUACGGUGCUGAAGCAACAAAUGCCCUGCUUCCAGGAAAAGCCUCUAAGCAUCAGGUAACAUCAAAUCGUACCCCAAACCGACACAGGUGGUCAGGUAGAGAAUACCAAGGCGCUUGAGAGAACUCGGGUGAAGGAACUAGGCAAAAUGGUGCCGUAACUUCGGGAGAAGGCACGCUGAUAUGUAGGUGAAGUCCCUCGCGGAUGGAGCUGAAAUCAGUCGAAGAUACCAGCUGGCUGCAACUGUUUAUUAAAAACACAGCACUGUGCAAACACGAAAGUGGACGUAUACGGUGUGACGCCUGCCCGGUGCCGGAAGGUUAAUUGAUGGGGUUAGCCGCAAGGCGAAGCUCUUGAUCGAAGCCCCGGUAAACGGCGGCCGUAACUAUAACGGUCCUAAGGUAGCGAAAUUCCUUGUCGGGUAAGUUCCGACCUGCACGAAUGGCGUAAUGAUGGCCAGGCUGUCUCCACCCGAGACUCAGUGAAAUUGAACUCGCUGUGAAGAUGCAGUGUACCCGCGGCAAGACGGAAAGACCCCGUGAACCUUUACUAUAGCUUGACACUGAACAUUGAGCCUUGAUGUGUAGGAUAGGUGGGAGGCUUUGAAGUGUGGACGCCAGUCUGCAUGGAGCCGACCUUGAAAUACCACCCUUUAAUGUUUGAUGUUCUAACGUUGACCCGUAAUCCGGGUUGCGGACAGUGUCUGGUGGGUAGUUUGACUGGGGCGGUCUCCUCCUAAAGAGUAACGGAGGAGCACGAAGGUUGGCUAAUCCUGGUCGGACAUCAGGAGGUUAGUGCAAUGGCAUAAGCCAGCUUGACUGCGAGCGUGACGGCGCGAGCAGGUGCGAAAGCAGGUCAUAGUGAUCCGGUGGUUCUGAAUGGAAGGGCCAUCGCUCAACGGAUAAAAGGUACUCCGGGGAUAACAGGCUGAUACCGCCCAAGAGUUCAUAUCGACGGCGGUGUUUGGCACCUCGAUGUCGGCUCAUCACAUCCUGGGGCUGAAGUAGGUCCCAAGGGUAUGGCUGUUCGCCAUUUAAAGUGGUACGCGAGCUGGGUUUAGAACGUCGUGAGACAGUUCGGUCCCUAUCUGCCGUGGGCGCUGGAGAACUGAGGGGGGCUGCUCCUAGUACGAGAGGACCGGAGUGGACGCAUCACUGGUGUUCGGGUUGUCAUGCCAAUGGCACUGCCCGGUAGCUAAAUGCGGAAGAGAUAAGUGCUGAAAGCAUCUAAGCACGAAACUUGCCCCGAGAUGAGUUCUCCCUGACUCCUUGAGAGUCCUGAAGGAACGUUGAAGACGACGACGUUGAUAGGCCGGGUGUGUAAGCGCAGCGAUGCGUUGAGCUAACCGGUACUAAUGAACCGUGAGGCUUAACCUU